rnacentral:lncRNA from 1 species
GUUUUGUUAGCUGGUGGUUACCAACCCAUGAUCUCGAUAAACUCCUCCCCCACGUAGCUUGUAACCUCCAUCCUCAGAUCUAUUAAGUAUGUGUCGAUCACCACCAUCCUCACUCUUGCCCUAACCUUUCUUCUUUCUUCUCGGAUUCACAUCUAAAUUCGGCCAAUCGGAAGGGUUUUAUUUAUUGCUUCUGACUGGCGGUGAUUGUAACCUACAGCAACCGAUCAUGAUUAGGAUGCAAGGAAGUGGAAUGAAGACAGUACAAGUACAGUGAUGUAAUGUUUUAGUUUUUCAGGUUGAAUCGUUUGAUGCUCUACUCUUCAACCUGGUGACUUUAUCUGCCCUAAUUUCCCGCUUGAUGUUCUCUACCAAUUUGUCUGUCGACAUUUCUGUGUGCAAUUCUACAGCUUUUAUUGCUCAAUUCUUUCCGGCGGUUUUGGUGCAAUGAUUUAGCCCUUGGAUAUUAAGGUUCGAUUUGGUGCACCUCUAUGGUAACUAGGGGUGUUAAUCGGAUUUCGGGUUAUUCAAGUCAAGUUUUAGGGGUUCGAAACUUCAAUUUCAACGGAAUACCGACUCAAGUAAGGUCGGUUUAAUCUGUAUCCACAGAGAUGAUAAGAUGAAGAUGUAGGAUAUUCAAUGUGUUGUUGCAGAAAUAAUUGGCAGAAGAUGUUUAGUUGCUGAACUUUUUGGGUCUGCAACGAAGAAACAACUACUAGCAUGCAACAAAGGAAAUUGCAUAAUGAUGAGGAACCUGCUAGAAAUUUAAAGGAGAUGGUCCAAGAUGCUUUACUUACAGGAGGAACCCAAAAUGUUGGGGCAAACUUCCUCUUGGUUCAAUGGGCUGGCUGCUACUCAGAGAAACGCUAUAGUUGUUCGCCCCUAACCACACUUUGGACAUCCCCCUCUUCAUAAAGUUUACCAUUCAGUACAUCCUAAGCGGGAAGGCUUGGCUCAACAACAAAUCUAAAACUUGAAACACAGUUUGGGUUAUGUGUUUACUGGUAUAGACUGCUUUCGCAACAAAGAAGAAUAAUGAAACAGGAGAGAUAGAGGCCCAAUGGGCACAUGCUCAACACACUCUACACGGGCUCCAAACACACGUUAAUUAUCGAAAUGCAUUAUUCUCUUGUGGCAUAUAUCCAAAAAGCUCAAUCGUUUGACACCAAAUGCAAGAUUGAGUCAUAACGUCAUUAUUCUCUUGUGGCAUAUAUCAUGCUUAUUAGUCACUGAUGAAACAAUGGUUAACCGGGCAGGGUUAACACACUGGUCUCGUCAAGAAG